GAACUGCGAGCGGCGGUUCUCCGGGGGGAAAGGAGGGGGCCGAGCGCUUCCUUUGUUCCUCUGUACGCCUCUGCUCAGUCUGUCAAAACAAGCCUUUACUAAAUGUGCCAUUUUUAAAGGUUACGGAAAAUGGGAAUCGAGGCCCUGAAGUGCUACGCCUGCUUUUUCACAGACUGAGCACCGCUCUGAACCUCCGGGGCCGUCCCGUAGACGCUGAAGUACUCCAGGAUGUCGUGGCGCAGGAAACAGAGAACCGACAGGCCGGGCCCAUUGCAGGCGUGGUAGAGCUGCCGGGAAACCCACAGACGGUCGGUCAGCAGGGACAGGAGAGCUCUGGAGGCCCGGGGCCAUGCCUGGGCCCCGAGCCACAGCCCCGUGAGCUGGGACCUCGGGCAAGUCACUGAAAGGCCCCAUGGCUCUUGUCCCCAUCUGAAACGUGGGGACGCAGUGGACUACUCCCCCAUAAGGUCUUGCGGACGAAGCCCGCCGAGGUGAGGACCCUCCCAUGUGAUCUACACAUUCCCUCAACAUCCAGGUCUGCUGAGGCUGGAGCCUUUUUCCUUGGGUACCGGUCUGCCCUGCACGGGCCGGUGGGGCCUUCUCUCCCACCAUUUACCCCUCUGACCACCGGGCAUCUGAAGCCCUGGGGGGCUUGCGAAUUCUCAGGUACUGAGCCUGCCCUGUGGGUUGCCCCCUCAGCAGGUCGGGGUUGGGGGUCAGAGGUUUGUUUCUUUAAGAGGGUCUCGGGCUGAUCUCGGGGUGCCGCCGGAAGGGAGCCCGCUUUGAGAACCACCCGCCGGCAGCCCUCAGUUUGUUUCUCUAAAGUGAGGACAGAUCGCAGAGACACCCCCGCCCCCGCCCCCCCCCCCACCCCCGGGCAGGUGCUGAAAGCAGCGUCCUCCUUGCCCCCCCUCCUCCCCACGCUCCUAUAGUUGUCUGCCAGAUGCCUAAUUUAAUAGCAAUUUUAAAGCAAAAUGUCUGUAUUUUCAAAGCUGUCAACUUAUUUCUGGACAACCGUCUCCUUUCGCUUACACAUUUCAUCCUUUUAAGUAAUAUUUAAUGACAUGAUGUAAUUAUUUUGACAAGCUCAAGGGCAUAAACAAGCUUGGAGCCCAGCACAGGCGACGCUUGGUCAGCCCAGCUCAGCUGGGUGGAGAGGCGGGCGGGACAGCAGCCCACAUCUGGAGGCGCCAGGGAUGCUACGGUGCAGGGGUGGUGAGAGCCCCGGGUCAUCUGGUGAGUCGAGCAAGUUGAGGUCGAUUUAGAGCUUCCACUGGCGGCAACUUCGUGGGAACUAAAGCUCAGGUGCACCGAGGAGGCAUUAACAGAGAUGUAGCGUCCAGAACAGGGGAGGACACGGUACUGCUCCUCUCUGUCUGGUCAGACCCCCCCCCCCCCCCACCCAGAGAGCUGUGCUGAGCUGCGGAAGCUGCACCCUUUGAAGUGCCGCUGGCAAAGAACAGGUUGGGGGAAAGGCAUCAGGCCGUGGAUGUGACCGUUUAGCUCAGCAAAGAGGAGCUUCAGGUGGGGCGCGAUCAAGGUGCUCACAUCUCCAGGAGAGAGGAGGGAGAAGAACACUUGUUCCCCGUGGCUCCGGCAGGCAGAGCCAGGCCCUGUGAGUGACCCUCCGGCUCCUUCCAGAACUACUUCUCCCCACCCCCACCCGAGCCCUGCUGUCUCUGUACCCAUUGUCUCUCUUACAUAGCACAGAUCGCGAUGUACCAUUAAAGGCUUCAUCACUCUGAGAUUCUGGACGCGGCCUGUGCCCUGUCACCCGCCUCGUCCCAGCCUAGAGCUGGCUUACCAUCGGCCAAGCGUUUGCCUGUGAACGCAGCGUCAGGGAGGCUUUGGAGCGGUUUGAAGGAGAGCUGGCCCAGGAGGGCCCUUUCCCCCCAGGCCCUCGGUUCACCCCUGCUGGAGAGGUGGGGCAGGUCAGAGCUGUUGAUUCAAGGAGACCGGCCUUCUUUUCUCCGAGGCAGCAACUUCGGAGAAGAGUCCCCAGGAGCACAAUCGCCGAUGUCCAGCCACUUUCCAUCCUGGCCCCUGGCCCCUCCCCGAGGUGCUCCGGCGUCCAGAAUAAGAAGAGAGCAGACUCUGCUGCUUGAGUCACGCGUCCACUGGAGGCAAGAGCAAAAGGACAGCUUUUUUUCCGUUUUGUUUUUCAUCAUGAUAUAAUGGUGUCGCCUACAACAAAACGCACA